rnacentral:rRNA from 1 species
AUUGAACGCUGGCGGCAGGCCUAACACAUGCAAGUCGAGCGGAUGAAGGGAGCUUGCUCCUGGAUUCAGCGGCGGACGGGUGAGUAAUGCCUAGGAAUCUGCCUGGUAGUGGGGGAUAACGUCCGGAAACGGGCGCUAAUACCGCAUACGUCCUGAGGGAGAAAGUGGGGGAUCUUCGGACCUCACGCUAUCAGAUGAGCCUAGGUCGGAUUAGCUAGUUGGUGGGGUAAAGGCCUACCAAGGCGACGAUCCGUAACUGGUCUGAGAGGAUGAUCAGUCACACUGGAACUGAGACACGGUCCAGACUCCUACGGGAGGCAGCAGUGGGGAAUAUUGGACAAUGGGCGAAAGCCUAAUCCAGCGAUGCCGCGUGUGUGAAGAAGGUCUUCGGAUUGUAAAGCACUUUAAGUUGGGAGGAAGGGCAGUAAGUUAAUACCUUGCUGUUUUGACGUUACCAACAGAAUAAGCACCGGCUAACUUCGUG